CUGGAACUUGAAUUUCCACACCCUUAUCUCUGGGGCCUCGAUUUCCUCAUUUGUGCAAUGGGCAGAAGAGUCCCUACCUGUUAGGGUUGAGUAUCCUAUGAGCUUAUGGGCUCCUGCUGCAGCUGGAGCUGUGGAAAGGGGCUGAAUGAGUGACGCAAGUGCAAGGGGAACAGGGACAGGCUGCUGGGAGGAAGAAUGCUCUUCCAGUGAGAACCACCCAAGCCUGGAAGAGGCGGCACUGUGUGUAAGGAGAUCCUG